UCAUAUAUCACUCUGCUCUUCACAGUGAAACUGAUAAAGACGGAUCACUGGACACCAGCUUUUCAUGAGAUAUAAUUUGAAAAAUGGCGUUCUUGAGUCUGUGUCUAUAGCUGAAGGACUAGUUUUCUCAGCGUUGUUCUGAGAGCUGCAGUGUUUUCAAGAAGCUCAGUUCAGCCUGUGUCCGGUCCUCCUCUACACUUUGUUAUUGUCAGUGCACUUUACAAAGCACUAGCUCCACAUGGAA
rnacentral:lncRNA from 1 species